rnacentral:rRNA from 1 species
UUUCGCCCUCAAAUCAGGUAGGACUACCCGCUGAACUUAAGCAUAUCAAUAAGCGGAGGAAAAGAAACCAACAGGGAUUGCCUCAGUAACGGCGAGUGAAGCGGCAAAAGCUCAAAUUUGAAAUCCUUCGGGAGUUGUAAUUUGUAGGUUGGGAGACCCCGCGGCUAGUGGCACCAAGUCCCUUGGAACAGGGCGCCUUAGAGGGUGAGAGCCCCGUAGGUACCACAAUACCGUCUUGUGUCUCCUCUCCAAAGAGUCGAGUUGUUUGGGAAUGCAGCUCAAAGUGGGUGGUAAAUUCCAUCUAAAGCUAAAUACCGGCGAGAGACCGAUAGCGAACAAGUACAGUGAUGGAAAGAUGAAAAGCACUUUGAAAAGAGAGUGAAACAGUACGUGAAAUUGUUGAAAGGGAAGGGCUUGCAAGCAGACACGGCCUUCGUGCCGGGCCAGCAUCGGUUGCUAGGGGUGGAUAAGGAACAAGGAAUGUAGCUCCUCGGAGUAUUAUAGCCUUGCGCGAUACACCCACUGGCGACCGAGGCCUGCGGUAUUCUUUACCUAGGAUGCUGGCGUAAUGGUUGCAAGCCGC